rnacentral:rRNA from 1 species
CUGCAUGGCUGUCGUCAGCUCGUGUCGUGAGAUGCUGGGUUAAGUCCCGCAACGAGCGCAACCCCUGCCCUUAGUUGCCAUCGGGUCACGCCGGGAACUCUAAGGGGACCGCCCCGGACAACGGGGAGGAAGGUGGGGAUGACGUCAAGUCAGCAUGGCCUUUAUGUCCAGGGCUACACACGUGCUACAAUGGUUGGUACAAAGGGUUGCCAAGCCGUGAGGCGGAGCCAAUCUCAAAAAGCCAACCUCAGUUCGGAUUGCAGUCUGCAACUCGACUGCAUGAAGUUGGAAUCGCUAGUAAUCGCUGAUCAGCAGGCAGCGGUGAAUACGUUCUCGGGCCUU